rnacentral:tRNA from 1 species
GAGGGUAUAGCUUAGUGGUACAGUUUCUGCUUAGCAUGCACGAGGUCCUGGGUUUAAUCCCCAGUACCUCCA